rnacentral:rRNA from 1 species
CCUACGGGAGGCAGCAGUGAGGAAUAUUGGUCAAUGGACGAGAGUCUGAACCAGCCAAGUAGCGUGAAGGAUGACUGCCCUAUGGGUUGUAAACUUCUUUUAUCUGGGAAUAAAACGUUCCACGUGUGGGAUUUUGUAUGUACCAUAUGAAUAAGGAUCGGCUAACUCCGUGCCAGCAGCCGCGGUAAUACGGAGGAUCCGAGCGUGAUCCGGAUUUAUUGGGUUUAAAGGGAGCGUAGGUGGAUUGUACAGUCAGUUGUGAAAGUUUGCGGCUCAACCGUAAAAUUGCAGUUGAAACUGGCAGUCUUGAGUACAGUAGAGGUGGGCGGAAUUCGUGGUGUAGCGGUGAAAUGCUUAGAUAUCACGAAGAACUCCGAUUGCGAAGGCAGUUCACUGGACUGCAACUGACACUGAGGCUCGAAAGUGUGGGUAUCAAACAGGAUUAGAUACCCGUGUAGUC